rnacentral:rRNA from 1 species
UACGGAGGGGGCGAGCGUUAUUCGGAAUUAUUGGGCGUAAAGGGCGCGUAGGCGGCCCGGUAAGUCAAAGGUGAAAUCCCUCGGCUCAACUGAGGAACUGCCUUUGAAACUGUCGGGCUUGAGGCCGGGAGGGGGUAGCGGAAUUCCCAGUGUAGCGGUGAAAUGCGUAGAUAUUGGGAGGAACACCAGUGGCGAAGGCGGCUACCUGGACCGGUUCUGACGCUGAGGCGCGAAAGCGUGGGGAGCAAACAGG